rnacentral:rRNA from 1 species
UACGAACUGUGCAAACGUUAUUCGGAAUCACUGGGCUUACAGGGUGCGUAGGCGGCUUGACAAGUAGGGUGUGAAAGCCCCCGGCUUAACCGGGGAACUGCGCUCUAAACUGUCGAGCUGGAGUGAGAUAGGGGUGUGCGGAACUUCCGGUGGAGCGGUGAAAUGUGUUGAUAUCGGAAGGAACGCCGGUGGCGAAAGCGGCACACUGGAUCUCAACUGACGCUGAGGCACGAAAGCCAGGGGAGCGAACGGG